GGGGCCGUCGUCUAGCCUGGUAGGAUGCCAGCCUGGGGAGCGGACCCCCAUGCCAGGCCGCCCGGAUCGCUGGUGGUCCGGGGUUCAAAUCCCCGCGGCCCCACCA
rnacentral:tRNA from 4 species